GAUCAAAUCAAGCGCGAGAAGGGCGUUUGGUGGAUGCCUUGGCAGUAAGAGGCGAUGAAGGACGUGGUACUCUGCGAUAAGUCAUGGGGAGCUGAGAACAGGCUUUGAUCCAUGAAUUUCCGAAUGGGGCAACCCACCUGACAGUUUGUUAUAAUAGCCUUCGGGCUGCUUAUAAUGGGCUGAAACAGGUACUUAUAGACUGAAUACAUAGGUUUAUAAGAGCAAACCCGGGGAACUGAAACAUCUAAGUACCCGGAGGAAAGGACAUCAAUAGAGACUCCCCUAGUAGCGGCGAGCGAACGGGGACCAGCCGAGUCCUGAGAGUGACCAGAACAAUCUGGAAAGAUUGGCCAUAGCGGGUGACAGCCCCGUAUGGGAAGCUCAAUGGAACGUAUUAAGUAGGGCGGAACACGUGAAAUUCUGUCUGAAGAUCGGGGGACCACCCCCGAAGGCUAAGUACUCCUUACUGACCGAUAGCGAACCAGUACCGUGAGGGAAAGGUGAAAAGCACCCCGACGAGGGGAGUGAAACAGUACCUGAAACCGAACGCCUACAAUCAGUCGGAGCUU
rnacentral:rRNA from 1 species